rnacentral:rRNA from 1 species
AGAGUUUGNUCAUGGCUCAGAUUGAACGCUGGCNNCAUNCUUAACACAUGCAAGUCGAACGGUAACGACGGGAACAAUCCUUCGGGUGCGUUCCUGGGCGACGAGUGGCGAACGGGUGAGUAAUGCAUAGGAAUCUGCCCAGUAGCGGGGGACAACUCGGGGAAACCCGAGCUAAUACCGCAUACGCCCUACGGGGGAAAGCGGGGGACCUUCGGGCCUCGCACUAUUGGAGGAGCCUAUGUCUGAUUAGCUUGUUGGUGGGGUAAAGGCCCACCAAGGCGACGAUCAGUAGCUGGUCUGAGAGGACGAUCAGCCACACUGGGACUGAGACACGGCCCAGACUCCUACGGGAGGCAGCAGUGGGGAAUAUUGCACAAUGGGCGCAAGCCUGAUGCAUCAAUGCCGCGUGUGUGAAGAAGGCCUGCGGGUUGUAAAGCACUUC